UAGACGUCCCUGUCAGUGAAACCUGGGCCCAAAUCGCAGCCACUGCUUGUGAUUGUUGCUGAGGCGAGACCUGCAAGUUCAGCUCCUAAUCCUGGUGCAUUUGCGUGCCAUCGACCCAACGAGGAACCUUUUUUUUACAAGUCGUGCGUCAAGAAAAGAAGGAGAUUCCCUCCUUUCCGUGGGGAAAAGAAAGGGACAAAGGCGAAGUGACGUAUCUUCCUCCUCACCCUACCGUCUGAUUUCUAUAUGUUAUUUGUGCACCGCUCGGUGACCUUCUAGACUAUCCACGUCGGUCAAAAUAAUUUUCACCGUCGGAUGACAAAUCAACUACUCACAUUCAUCUCAUCCACCAUAUUACUGUACCAGCAAAUAUCUCCGUUCCGCUUCGAGAGCCUUCUUCUCGUUUCGGCGUGGGCACAGCAAACUCAGAUCCAGCCGCCUCCGGACACCGUUGCGGUGAGGACGCAGCGGAGGAGCUCAUCGGCCGCUGCCUGACAACUGACCCUCCAUGGAGGCUGAGCAGGCGCAGCACCUCCGCCGUGACCUCGUCAACGGUCGCCUGCCCACCUCCAUCACCUCAUCCUCCACCUUUUCAUCCUUCUCCAGAUGCUCCCCCCUCGCCGCCCGUUCAUCUCCAUUUCCGUGUCCGCCUUCGGCUUUUUCUCCGGCGAGGACGGAUCUCCACCUCGCCAAAUGACCGGGCGCGAUGGUGACUCUGCUCCCCUUCUCUGAUUCUUCCCGCUAGCGCUGGCUGCCCUUCCUCCUAGUGCACCGCGAAGGAGGCGGCAGACAUACGGUUCCUGGGCCUCCUCAUGGCGGCCUUCGUGGCGGGGUAGCUGCCGCGCGCGCUGGUGGCGGCGAUCCGGCGGGCCUGCCUCUUCGUAGUUGCAGCUCGCCAUGAUCUCGAGCUCGCCGUGGAGGUCAAUGCGGCAGUGCAUGCGAUUCUGUGCCAAUCACCGGCGCGUACAUUCCGUUCCCCGCCGCCUGCAUCUUGUCAAGCAUCUCCACCGCCGGCAUGUUCAAAUUCGCACUGGAGCUCUUCUUGCUCUGGCCGUUGCGGCAUCAGUGUCGACCUCGGCAUCCGUCGAUCUGGCCGCCGCUGCUGGGCUGGCCUUCCCUUCCCUUAGGUGCCCUCUGCCUUCCGCUCUUCAACCUUCUUUUCUUGUCUCCGUUCCUCUUUAGCCUCUGCUCCUCUCUUCUCAAUUCAAGGCGCAGCUCUGCUCUUGCUCUACUAAUCUGUGCUCCCGGUGGAUUAUGCAUCGUCCACCGCUGUGGUUCGGGAGCCUCAGAUGGGGAGUGUCCGCAUCUAGGAAGAUCUAAUUGCAGGAUUUUUUUGUAUAGGCUAGAUAUAUUUAGGUGUAUGAACGCUGUUGACAAUAAAUGGUUGAACAAAAAUGCAUGAUUCAGCUUAACAUACAAACAUAUCCAUUGAGCUUUUAUGCCCUUGUAAGAUCUAAUUGCUAUUCCAUUGGAAACUGACCAAUUGCUGAAUAAAUAAUCAAUCUGCUUAGCAGUACACUUAAUCUCCGGAGGUGCUCAUUAUUGGCUUAAUUUUAUAUACAUAAACAGAAAAUUAGAACUCUGUCCUGCUAAAAGUUUCAACUACUAUAGUCAAGUUAGCAACAUUAGAUUUUUUUUCACCUUGCCGAUGCAAGAUGCCAAACUAUAACUAAUAUUUUCAACACUUCUAUAGUGAAGGUUUGCUCUUUAUUCAGUGCAACUUUUAGCAACGAAUCUUUUAUGGUGUCUUCCAGGCAUAGCAGUUGUUCCGGAAGGACUCAAAGAUAAUCACUCCUGAGGCUCUAGCUACUGUUAAGUCUGCUAUUGCAGAUAGUGGGAACGACAAGAAGGUUGAACUAACAAAGAAUUCUUUCAAAAAAGAAAAGUAAGAAAGAAGGCAGGCAGCUAGGUGAAGUUGGGAGGACCCAACCUUGACGGAUAGUCUGAAAGUAAGUUCUCUAAUUCUCUGUUGUCUGCUUGUCUUAUUCAUGAUGUUUCUCAGAUCCAUAAUUUUGUGAUUUAUGGAAUAUUUUAAUUUGGCAAUGCAACAUUUUUUAGCUCUUAUUGUCCAUCAACUUGAAGAUGACAAAGUAACCAUGAGUUAAGUUGUCAUUCUCGCAGGCAAGAUAUAAUGCUCUAUGAUCUAUCAUGAUAGAUCAUGAUUUGAUCUGAAACUCUGAAAGAAACUGAUCUUUUCUUCCUUUUUUUAAAGGUGCUCAAAGGUGUCAUGUGUGAGCCAACAUGUUGCCACACGGGAUUUAGGUGGGCUUGCAGAUGAUAUAGUAAACAUCUACAAUUUUUUAUCUUACCAAAUUUACUUGCAGAUGAUAGAUGUUAAUAAAGAUCUGACAGAAAGGGAAACACCAAAGGCUAGAUUAAUAUGUGCGGAGGCGAUGAUGUUUGCCAACUUUGAAUUCGGUUUGUCAUUGUUCCCUGAUCUUGAGGCAGUUUAAGGCUUUGUCAUGUCUGUUUUUUUUGUUAGGUUUGUGAGUUGGUGUAUGCAAUGAUCUGAGUACAUCCCAACAUUUUUUUAAUAAAUCUACAGACAAUGUGUUUGUUCUGUGGUAAAUAUUUUAGUUUUCACUGAUUUGUUUUUUAAUAUAAUUCAAACUUGCAACCUUCUACUGAUGCAAUAAGACACCCGAAUCUCGGUUACAUGUUAUUGCAAUCCAACAAGGCAAACAAUGUCUGUACAAAGCUGGAGGAGACCACCUUGCUUCUUCAUGGCCUGUAAAUUGGUUAGGUUAUCAUUAAAUAAAUGGUUGGAAAAUUGGAAAUAGAGCUAGAUUAUAGUCUAAAUGGUAUGGCAAUUUGGAAAAGCAAAUGUAGCUUUCCCAUGAUUCAGUGAAUAAAUUUGUUUCAACAUUAUAUUUGUGUACAACAAUUCAAUUUGGAAUCUAAUUUUAAACAGUAAGCUAAAUUUGCGAUUAUAUUUGCUUGGCCAUAAAAACUUGGGUAUUCUCAACAUUCUGUUUGUAAUUGUGAUUGCUUCUUAGAAUACUCUUAUUAUAACAAUGUGCUUUUGUUGAAGUCUAUGAUUUGAAGAGUAUAUCGUUUUACUGCUACUAUUAUACCAAAGUACUUUAUAAGUUUAUAAUAUAAGCUUUGAAAGUAACAACGAUGUAUAUACAAGCUUGCAUCUUGGUAAGUUACUUUUCCUCCUUACUUUUAGUUAUCUAUGAUAUUGCUGAUAAUAAUAGCUGCAAUUUAUUAGUUUUGUGCCUGAGAAACUUUCGUAUAUUAUAUGCUAUUGUGUAUAAGUUCAGCUUAGUAUACAUUCUGCUUUGAAUAUAGCUACGCUUUGUCUUAUUCAAAUUCCAACAAUGCGACCACUGAGAAGUUAAAUUAUUAUUAUCUACUAAAAUACUACAAGCUACCUAUGAUAAAUCAGGAUGGCCAACUGGCUGACAUUUUUUUUACAUUUCUAUUCUUCUCAUCUCUUCUCUUCUAUUCUUGUCAUAUAUUACUCUUCUUACUUAUGCUCUACUACUCAUUUCAAUUCAAUUGAUUUAGAUACUGCGAAUGCCAAAUAGAUUUUUUUUUAAAAAAAACUACACACCCUUAAUUGCAUGCCUUCUAUUACCAUACAACUAUCUUCUUUAUCAUUGCAGGAAACUCAUGGUCAUCGCCGCAGCAAUAGUGAUGUACCUCGGCAAGUAUCAGGAGCCCAAAUCAUAGUUUGCAUGUGCUCUACGCACUUACCGUCCAUAUUAGAAUCUAAUGUGAAAAGGAUGGGCGUGCCUCGACAAAAAAAAAAGGCGACGCUUCAGGUCAACAAACCACACUCCCUCCCAAGAACAACGCUGCCACAAACAGGAGGCGCCUCGACGGUCAGCUCUCGAUCCGGCAGACACGAGAGAAAUCCGAGACCAGGGAGUGCAUGCUACUAGUGUACUCCUACGUACACGGGAAGGGAGAGGCGACGCAAGCCGAGGACGGGAAGGGACCCGUCCGGCCCGCGACGCACAUGCCUAGGCGAUGUGCAGACUGCAGAGACUUUCCUCGGUGGCGUUUCCCGGGCCCUGGCCAGGCGGCCGCCGUCCUUUCCUUGGUGGUUGCAAACAAACGGUGGCGUCCGCAGGCCGCAGCCUCCGCAACAACCCGAAGCUGGCUGCCUCGCGCCCUGUCCAUCCAUCCGUUCUCUGUUCUCCAAGGCCAACGCGA